UACAGAUCAAAUACACAGCUGGAACGCUGAUUAUGGUGUUUCAUGUCCUAAUAAUUCGAAAGGUUGCUCAGAAAACCAGGUUUUUUAAUCUCAUAUCCGUAUGCUUACUUCGAUUUUGACCUUACACCGAUUAAUAGUCAUGUAAGGUGUUUACAUGACUAUUGCAUCUGCCAUAAUCAGUUUAAUAUUGAAUUGUUACUGUGCAUGUAAAGUGACUUUACAUAAACACGCUGUCUUACAUGUUUUCCGGGGACAGUCCCCGUUUUUGGUGGCCUGUCCCCGGCUGGAGCUGUCCCCGUUUUAACAGUGCAUUAAAAACAGACUGCAGAGUGAAAUAAUAUUUAACGUGGCAAGAAAGACCGGGCAACAGAGCCUACCGGUUGACGUCUCAAUCGCGUUGUGCUUGUUUUGUCCAGCUAUAAUCAGCUUCAUUCACUCUUCUUCUUCUACUAACUACUUGCUCGCGCUGGUUUUAGAGAAAACUGCUGUGGAAAACUCGGCCAGAAGCUAGCAAGUGUCAAGUGAAUCCACAACAUCACCACAAAUGUCUUUUCAAACCAGGCACUGUCCUUGUGUGUUUGACUCUCGGGUACACACAUGAAGAUAAGCUAGAAGACAACUAUGCUUGGCAAUAAAGAUGCGUCUAGAGGCUGGGACCAGCCUGCACGCCAACGAUAGGAUGAGUAAGUUUAAACCACGCUCAUCCUCCCUCUGACAGGCCAGCAGUGAGCAGGAACUAUCUCUGUCAGAGUAUUUAAUGAAGAACUUAUGAUGUCAUUUUCAGUUCUCUGUUUGCCCUGCGAGGUGUUACAGUGAACCCGUAUAUACGAAGAUUGCAUUUACCAUUUAUUCUGCUUGACUAAUUCUAUUAAAAAACAUCUGAAAAUAUA